GCUCAGGUGUCUUAGUGGUUAGAUCGUCCCCCUCGGAUGCGGGAGGUCGUGGGUUCGAUCCCCGAUCUAAAGACU